AAUACCUACGGGACGCAGCAGUGGGGAAUAUUGGGCAAUGGGCGCAAGCCUGACCCAGCAACGCCGCGUGAAGGAAGAAGGCUGUCGGGUUGUAAACUUCUUUUCUCAGGGACGAAGCAAGUGACGGUACCUGAGGAAUAAGCCACGGCUAACUACGUGCCAGCAGCCGCGGUAAUACGUAGGUGGCAAGCGUUAUCCGGAUUUACUGGGUGUAAAGGGCGUGUAGGCGGGAAAGCAAGUCAGAUGUGAAAACCACGGGCUUAACCUGUGGCCUGCGUUUGAAA
rnacentral:rRNA from 1 species